rnacentral:rRNA from 1 species
GCAAUGGGGGAAACCCUGACGCAGCGACGCCGCGUGCGGGAUGAAGGCCUUCGGGUUGUAAACCGCUUUUGAUUGGGAGCAAGCCUUUUGGGUGAGUGUACCUUUCGAAUAAGCGCCGGCUAACUACGUGCCAGCAGCCGCGGUAAUACGUAGGGCGCAAGCGUUAUCCGGAAUUAUUGGGCGUAAAGAGCUUGUAGGCGGUUCGUCGCGUCUGGUGUGAAAGCCCAUCGCUUAACGGUGGGUUUGCGCCGGGUACGGGCGGGCUAGAGUGCAGUAGGGGAGACUGGAAUUCUCGGUGUAACGGUGGAAUGUGUAGAUAUCGGGAAGAACACCAAUGGCGAAGGCAGGUCUCUGGGCUGUUACUGACGCUGAGAAGCGAAAGCGUGGGGAGCGAACAGGAUUAGAUACCCUGGUAGUCCACGCCGUAAACGGUGGACGCUGGAUGUGGGGCCCAUUCCACGGGUUCUGUGUCGGAGCUAACGCGUUAAGCGUCCCGCCUGGGGAGUACGGCCGCAAGGCUAAAACUCAAAGAAAUUGACGGGGGCCCGCACAAGCGGCGGAGCAUGCGGAUUAAUUCGAUGCAACGCGAAGAACCUUACCUGGGCUUGACAUGUGCCUGACGACUGCAGAGAUGUGGUUUCCUUUCGGGGCAGGUUCACAGGUGGUGCAUGGUCGUCGUCAGCUCGUGUCGUGAGAUGUUGGGUUAAGUCCCGCAACGAGCGCAACCCUCGCCCUGUGUUGCCAGCGGGUUAUGCCGGGAACUCACGGGGGACCGCCGGGGUUAACUCGGAGGAAGGUGGGGAUGACGUCAGAUCAUCAUGCCCCUUACGUCCAGGGCUUCACGCAUGCUACAAUGGCCAGUACAACGGGUUGCUUCAUGGUGACAUGGUGCUAAUCCCUUAAAACUGGUCUCAGUUCGGAUCGUAGUCUACAACUCGACUAC